rnacentral:rRNA from 1 species
UACGGGAGGUGCGAGCGUUGUUCGGAAUGACUGGGCGUAAAGCGCACGUAGGCGGGUCUUUAAGUCGCAUGUGAAAGCCCCGGGCUUAACCUGGGAAUCGCAUACGAAACUGGAGAUCUUGAAUGCCUGAGAGGUUGAUGGAAUUCUUGGUGUAGGAGUGAAAUUCGUAGAUAUCGGGAGGAACACCAGUGGCGAAGGCGGCGACCUGGACAGAUAUUGACGCUGAGGUGCGAAAGCGUGGGGAGCAAACAGG